CUACUAUAAGACUGGGAUAACUUCGGGAAACCGGAGCUAAUACCGGAUAAUAUAUUGAACCGCAUGGUUCAAUAGUGAAAGACGGUUUUGCUGUCACUUAUAGAUGGAUCCGCGCCGCAUUAGCUAGUUGGUAAGGUAACGGCUUACCAAGGCAACGAUGCGUAGCCGACCUGAGAGGGUGAUCGGCCACACUGGAACUGAGACACGGUCCAG
rnacentral:rRNA from 1 species